CGCGCGCCCCCUUUCCUGGCGAUUCCCUACUGCCCACCGCUUUCUGUUCCCACUUCCGGUGCCUGCAUCCCGACGGGGGUCAAGAAUCUGCUUUAUGAUUGAUUGAUGGAAGAAAGCAAUAGUUGCCACUUGAAGAUAAAGAGGGGACCACACUACAACAAUAAAGACCUGGAAGAUCAUGGGACAGGAUGUUUUUAUUGCUCUUUUGUAAACUGCUCUGGGCUGAAUUGGAAAGAAGAGCAACGCUGAAAAAGUGUAAAAUUAAAUAUACAAACACCCAAAGUAUUGUCAUCACCUUUUAGAAUGAAGAUGAUUGUCUCAGGUAAUCAUCUGGAGUAAACUUGGGACCUCUGGACAACACCUUUUAUACCUGGGAGGCGGAGCUAAGGCCGAUUGAAAGAGUGUUUUAAAAGUUCUCAAAGG